rnacentral:rRNA from 1 species
UGGGGUGGCCAUAUCAUAUUGAAAACACUGGUUUUCAUCUGAUCACUGAAGUUAAGCAACAUUAAGUCAAGUGAGUACUUAGAUGGGUGACCAUCUGGGAAACCUAGGCGCUGUAAGCA